GGUGGUGUACCCAAGUGGCCAAAGGGGGUAGACUGUAAAUCUACUGACGGACGUCUUCGAAGGUUCGAAUCCUUCCGCCACCA
rnacentral:tRNA from 1 species